GACGAACGCUGGCGGCGUGCUUAACACAUGCAAGUCGAACGGAAAGGCCCUGCUUUUGUGGGGUGCUCGAGUGGCGAACGGGUGAGUAACACGUGAGUAACCUGCCCUUGACUUUGGGAUAACUUUAGGAAACUGGGGCUAAUACCGGAUAGGAGCUCCUGCUGCAUGGUGGGGGUUGGAAAGUUUCGGCGGUUGGGGAUGGACUCGCGGCUUAUCAGCUUGUUGGUGGGGUAGUGGCUUACCAAGGCUUUGACGGGUAGCCGGCCUGAGAGGGUGACCGGCCACAUUGGGACUGAGAUACGGCCCAGACUCCUACGGGAGGCAGCAGUGGGGAAUAUUGCACAAUGGGCGGAAGCCUGAUGCAGCAACGCCGCGUGCGGGAUGACGGCCUUCGGGUUGUAAACCGCUUUCGCCUGUGACGAAGCGUGAGUGACGGUAAUGGGUAAAGAAGCACCGGCUAACUACG
rnacentral:rRNA from 1 species